GCCUACGGGNGGCAGCAGUAGGGAAUCUUCCGCAAUGGACGAAAGUCUGACGGAGCAACGCCGCGUGAGUGAUGAAGGUUUUCGGAUCGUAAAACUCUGUUGUUAGGGAAGAACAAGUACCGUUCGAAUAGGGCGGUACCUUGACGGUACCUAACCAGAAAGCCACGGCUAACUACGUNCCAGCAGCCGCGGUAAUACGUAGGUGGCAAGCGUUGUCCGGAAUUAUUGGGCGUAAAGCGCGCGCAGGCGGUUUCUUAAGUCUGAUGUGAAAGCCCCCGGCUCAACCGGGGAGGGUCAUUGGAAACUGGGGAACUUGAGUGCAGAAGAGGAGAGUGGAAUUCCACGUGUAGCGGUGAAAUGCGUAGAGAUGUGGAGGAACACCAGUGGCGAAGGCGACUNUNUGGU
rnacentral:rRNA from 1 species